AUUGAACGCUGGCGGCAUGCUUUACACAUGCAAGUCGAACGGUAACAGGCCGCAAGGUGCUGACGAGUGGCGAACGGGUGAGUAAUGCAUCGGAACGUGCCCAGUCGUGGGGGAUAACGCAGCGAAAGCUGCGCUAAUACCGCAUACGAUCUAUGGAUGAAAGCGGGGGACCGUAAGGCCUCGCGCGAUUGGAGCGGCCGAUGUCAGAUUAGGUAGUUGGUGGGGUAAAGGCUCACCAAGCCAACGAUUUGUAGCUGGUCUGAGAGGACGACCAGCCACACUGGGACUGAGACACGGCCCAGACUCCUACGGGAGGCAGCAGUGGGGAAUUUUGGACAAUGGGCGCAAGCCUGAUCCAGCAAUGCCGCGUGCAGGAAGAAGGCCUUCGGGUUGUAAACUGCUUUUGUACGGAACGAAACGGUCCUGGUUAAUACCUGGGGCUAAUGACGGUACCGUAAGAAUAAGCACCGGCUAACUACGUGCCAGCCGCCGCCGUAAAAC
rnacentral:rRNA from 1 species